rnacentral:rRNA from 1 species
UACGUAGGGUGCAAGCGUUGUCCGGAAUUAUUGGGCGUAAAGAGCUCGUAGGCGGUUUGUUGCGUCGGCUGUGAAAUCCCUGAGGCUCAACCUCGGGUCUGCAGUCGAUACGAGCAAACUAGAGUGUUGCAGGGGAGACUGGAAUUCCUGGUGUAGCGGUGGAAUGCGCAGAUAUCAGGAGGAACACCGGUGGCGAAGGCGGGAUCCUGGGCCAGUACUGACGCUGAGGAGCGAAAGCGUGGGGAGCAAACAGG